AUUAUGUCGCGUGUUUUGUAAUACACGCAGUACUGUAAAGUGAAACGAGGUCAUUCUGUUGUGUACUUUGGUCAAAGGAAGAGAAAGAUGGAGUCCCUUAGAAAAGGAAAAUGAGACUGAUGGGAUUUCGUUUUAAAGGAAGAAGAGUCUGAAGCUAACGUGUAUACCUACGAGAGUUCUGGUAAGAUAUACUUUUUAAUCCAUAGAAAAUAUGAAGAGAAAAAAAACCAAAUUGUGUUGAUAUUUAAAAUAUGAUUUAAUAUGAUUAUGAAAAACCGAGGUUUGCCCAAGUUCAAUUAGAAUAUGAAAAUGUUUUUAUGACAUUUUUUAUACAGCCGUGCUGGAUCUAUGUGAUCACUUCGGAUUUUGAGAUGUUGCAGAAUUAUAUCAUAAUACUCAAGUCGGCAAUACUAGUCGAUUGAAAUUUUCAUAUUUAUAUUGACAGACAACACUCUUAACUUUUAGUGAUCUUUAGUAAAACAUUGGUUGAUGGGCAAAUUUAUUUUAACUGUAUUCCUUUGGCAUGAUUCAUUUUGUCAUAUGUUAGUUAUAUGACCAUGGUUUUAUUUACCAUAAUAUAGACAUAAGAAGAUAGAAAAUAACAUGAAUAAUGACUUACGUACUUCUUACGGGUAGUAAUAUGCAACUGAUAGGACCAUUUAAAAAUUAAACACAUAUAACAAAACAGUACUUGAGAACUAUAUCCCUUGACCACGAAUAAAGUGUCUGAAGCCUAUUUGACAUUCAAAAAGGAUAUUUCUUAUUAAACUUUACAUUUACUUAGCAUGAUAACUAUAGUACAAUAAGUGCCAAUUUUUAUUAAUUUCUAGCAGUUAUUAAAAUAGUUUGGGAUGUUAUAUAUAAGUGUAUCUAUCUGCGGAAACAUGUUAUUUGCAUUUGUAUUAAGAAUUCAGUCAAAACUAUAAGAAAAUAUUUGUUAACAUGAUUAAGUAAUUUAUUUACCAAAAUAAGGCUCGAUCCAGUCAGUAACCAUACUUGUACUUAGUUAAAAUGAGAUAAUUUCUAAAGCUUACUGCCAUUUAUGUGCCAGUUUUUUUGUGCAAUUUUUAUAUCUCUCUCUGGUGCUCAAAUGAGAAGUGGUCAAUAUGAUGAGUACAGAUAUAAUAAGCAUAAUUGUGGGUGAAUUAAUACUUAUAACUUUAUAUAUUUCCACUGCCUAUCUUAUUGGUUAUGUGUACUUCAAAGCAACUUAAAGUACAUAAAUUUUCAAUGUUAAGAUAUUUUGCUAGCUCUUUAUAUUUUGAAUUGUAUAUGUGUUGUUAUGACAUUCUUUCUCAUAUAGGGUCGAUUCGUUUUUGGAAAGCUUAUUGAAAAUGCUUCCUAUUAAUGAACUCUCAUUUAUAAUGAAGUAAUAAUGUGAUGCAGUCUUACGAUUUUUUUUUCUUUAAUUUUCAUUUAAAAACAUAUAAACGGUAAAAAUAGACAAUACCUGCUUUAUAUGCUUAGAUAUGGUCAAAAUAUAAAAUUAGAAGAUGUGGUAUGAUUGCAUAUUGGCAAAGUCAAAAAUGUGUGACACAAAAUCCUGUUUUUUCAAUACAUUUUUAAAGAAAAAAAUAUAUACAAUUACUUGUUGUAUGCACUGUUCUAACUUAUUGUGAAACACUGUUUAAAACUGUGUAAUUUGUAUUAAAACAGACGAAUCACCAAAGAAAAAGAAUAACUCAAAGUUCUGGUGGCCUGGGUGCAGUGAAUUCGAAAUAUCAACAGCGACCCUCAAAUACAGAAUAUGAAAGAAAAAGGUGAGGUUACAAAAUUUUAUUUGCAAACUUUACUUUAUAACUUCAAGGUAUCACUGCUAACAGUCAGGGGAAUUACUUAAAUGAUCAAAUUUUAUUGUAGCUUUAAAUAUAUCAUACCAGGCGGAAACCCAGUUGAAAUCGAAGCUCUUUGUUAGAGAAGGCGAUAAAUGCUUACUGCAAUGUUUACUAUAGUAACACAAUUUUUAAAAAUUAAUAUAGAAACAAACACAACGACAAUUUUCUUCUCAAUAACGAAGUGUUUUAUUUUAAAAACACCAUUUGCAUAAGUUUUCAAUUUAUCUACAUAUUAAUGCAGACCCAAUGCUGCAGAACAAUUCGAUAUCAAGUCGACGACAUAGGAAUCUAUCAAGUUGGAUGUAGAAAAUGCAUAACCUCCGAUUUUUUUUUUAAAUUACCACGGACGGAGAACAUAUCAAUCUAUUAGUUCAGUAAUUUUCGUGUCUGCCUUUCCAUUAUGUGACUCGAGAAAAAAUUCCAAAAAAUGGUUUAACAAUUGUAUCGAAAAGAGAAAAUCGAGUGCACCUUUUUAGCUCACCUGGCCCAAAGGGCCAAGUGAGAUUUUCUCAUCACUUUGAGUCCGUCGUCCGUCGUCCGUCGUCGUCGUCGUCUGUUAAUUUUUACAAUAAUCUUCUCCUCUGAAACUACUGGGCCAAAUUAAACCAAACUUUGCUACAAUCAUCAUUGGGGUAUCUUGUUUAAAAAAUGUGUCCGGUGACCUGGCCAACUAACCAAGAUGGCUACCAUGGCUAAAAAUAGAACAUAGGGGUAAAAUGCAGUUUUUGGCUCAUUUAUCUCAAAACCCAAACCAUUUAGAUCAAAUCUGACAUGGGAUAAAAUUGUUAACCAGGUGAAGAUCUAUCUGCCCUGAAAUUGUUGAGAUGAAUUGGGCAACUCGUUGUUAGGUUGCUGCCCCUGAAUUGGUAAUUUUAAGGAAAUUUUGCCGUUUCUGGUUACUAUCUUGAAUAUUAUUAUAGAUAGAGAUAAACUGAUACAGCAAUAAUGUACAGCAAAGUAAAACCUAACUAGAGGCUCUAAAGAGCCUUUAUCGGACCGCAGAUGAAUUAUCAUGUUGUGAUUGGUUAAACGCCGUCACGUGGUGACCCCCUAUGAGGCGUAUGGAGUUAGUAAGUUUCAUAUGGGGUUCAUGACGCGUUAAUGGACGUCAUCUAUUAAUGUUGUUGUGUUUCAUUGUUUAUUUUUCAACAAAACGCCGCAGAAAAAGUCCAGCGUCCGAUAAAUUCGUUAUACGGUUAACUACUGACCCCCUACGGAUCCAUAGAGGGUGAAUAAAAUUCAUAGGGGACUCGGCUUCCGGCCUCACCCCCUAUGGAUUUUACUAACCCUCUAUAGAUCCGUAUGGGGUCAGUAGCGAACCAUAUAACUUAUAAUGUUGCUAUACAAUAAAAGGGUUAUUGCAUGAAUAUUGGGAAAUAUUGUCCCUCGUAGAACAUAUAUUGCACUCGCAAGCUCGUGCAAUAUAAAAUUAUACUAAGAACAAUAUUCCAGAAUAUUCAUGCAAUAACCCUAUAUUAUAUGAGAUAUCUCAUAUAGUUUAUAAGAUAUCUUAUAUACUUUAUAAGAUAUCUAAUAAAGUAUACGAGAUAUCUGAUAUAUAUUUUUAAUAUAAGAAUAUCUGAAUGUAUGAUCGCUAUGUCUCGCUUUUUCGACAAAAGUCGAAGGCUCGACAAAAAUGCAUUUACAAAGAAUGGUAUUAUUCUCACUAUUUAAAUGAUCUUUUCUUUUCUGAAAUAGGUCUUUAGCAUAAUUUAUUUUCUUUUUUAGACUUUACUAUCUAUGAGUACCAACAUAAUCUUUAAGCAGAUCAAUGGAUUUUUAAUCCAGAUCAGACAGUCAAGAGAAUUUACCGUAAAUAGAAAAUUAGCAAAAGUGACAGCAACACACGUAUGUUUCGAUUGGUGUGAUAGAUUUUGGACAGGAGUAGCAGACUGUGGUGCAUUGAUUCCAAAAUCUUGACAAAACAACAACUGAACACCUUUUUGUCUCUUUCAAGUAGGAUUGUGCUAAUUUUUUUUUAAUAAUAAAUGCCAGAAAUUAAUAUGGGACAGUUUGAAAGAAGAACUUUCAAAAUGACACAUAUUAGCACAAGGAUUCAUUGCAAUGAGACAAUUUCUGAUUUUGUGUAUUUUCAACUUUUUAUUUUUUUAUAAACUUUAAAUAAUUUGAUGAACUGCAAGUAUUAUUUAAAUAUGAACACGCAAGUCUCAAGUGUGGUUCAUGCAGUUUUCAACUGCUUUUCGUUUAAAAAGGGGUUUCCCUUAAAAGAAAAUUUAAUCAAG
rnacentral:lncRNA from 1 species